GCCUGUGUAGCUCAGACGGCAAGAGCGCUAUCUUCACAUGAUAGAGGCCCCUGGUUCAAGUCCAGGCACAGGCA
rnacentral:tRNA from 1 species